GUGCCAGCAGCCGCGGUAAUACGAAGGGGGCUAGCGUUGCUCGGAAUCACUGGGCGUAAAGCGCACGUAGGCGGCUUUCUAAGUCAGGGGUGAAAUCCUGGAGCUCAACUCCAGAACUGCCUUUGAUACUGGAGAGCUAGAGUCCGGAAGAGGUGAGUGGAACUGCGAGUGUAGAGGUGAAAUUCGUAGAUAUUCGCAAGAACACCAGUGGCGAAGGCGGCUCACUGGUCCGGUACUGACGCUGAGGUGCGAAAGCGUGGGGAGCAAACAGGAUUAGAUACCCCCGUAGUCC
rnacentral:rRNA from 1 species